ACCCAACAGCUAGCUUAUACCCAGUAUUAACAUACAACUAUUAAUAACUUUAUCACACCCCCUAACACUUUAACUAAACCAUUCUUCCCCCCUAGUACAGGCGAUAGAAAGGGGGCUCUAAACCUUUUUAAAAGCUAUAGAAAAAGUACCGCAAGGGAAAGCUGAAAGAGAAAUGAAAAAACUCAGUAAAGUAAUGAAAAGCAGAGACUGAUCCUCGUACCUUUUGCAUCAUGAUUUAACAAGAACACUUUAAGCAAAAAGACCUUUAGUUUAAACCCCCGAAAUUAAGUGAGCUACUCCGAGGCAACCUAAAACAGGGUAAACACGUCUCUGUGGCAAAAGAGUGUGAAGAACUCCGAGUAGAGGUGAUAAACCUACCGAACUUAAUAAUAGCUGGUUUCCUAGAAAACGAAUAGAAGUUCGGCCUUUAUUUAUCUUAAAUCACUCAAAUUACAGCAAGACUAAAGAUAUAUAAAGAGUUACCCAUAAGGGGUACAGCCCUUGUGGGAUAAGAAACAGCUUUAAAGGUGGGAUAAAGAUCAUAUAAAUCAAGGCUUAUUGUCCCAGUAGGCCUAAGAGCAGCCACCUGUAAAAAAGCGUUAAAGCUUAAACACCCCCCCCCCCCCCGCCUUCAAUACCGACACACAAUCUAACUCCUCCAACUUUACUAGGAUAUUCUAUAAUGUAUAGAAGAAAUAAUGUUAAUAUGAGUAAUAAGAAGUAUAAACCUCUCCUUACACAAGUGUACAUCGGAACGGAAACGCCGCCGAAAAUUAACCGUCCCCAAUAAAAGAGGGUAUUGAACCAUAAAAAGACAACUAGAAAAGACUUCAUAUCUAAACGUUAACCCCACACAGGUGUGUAUAUAAGGAAAGACUAAAAGAAAGGGAAGGAACUCGGCAAAUAUGACUUAAGCCCCGCCUGUUUACCAAAAACAUCACCUCUUGGUACACUAACAUAAGAGGCCCCGCCUGCCCUGUGAUAAAUAUUUAACGGCCGCGGUAUUUUGACCGUGCAAAGGUAGCGCAAUCAAUUGUCUUUUAAAUGAAGACCCGUAUGAAUGGCAUAACGAGGGCUCAACUGUCUCCCCUUUCAGGUCAAUGAAACUGAUCUCCCCGUGCAGAAGCGGGGAUAACAACAUAAGACGAGAAGACCCUAUGGAGCUUAAAACGCAAGAAUAGCUCAAAUAAUUAUCUUACAUUAGUAAGAUACAGACAACUGACUCCUAUUCUAGUGUUUUUGGUUGGGGCGACCGCGGGGUAAAACAAACCCCCCGUGCAGAAUGAAAACACACAUCCUCCUAUUUAAGGGUGACAGCCCUAGAAAUCAGAACCUCUGACUAACAGAUCCGGGAAACCGAUUAACGAACCAAGUUACCCUAGGGAUAACAGCGCAAUCCUCUUUUAGAGCCCAUAUCGACAAGAGGGUUUACGACCUCGAUGUUGGACCAGGACAUCCUAAUGGUGCAGCUGCUAUUAAGGGUUCGUUUGUUCAACGAUUAAAGUCCUACGUGAUCUGAGUUCAGACCGGAGUAAUCCAGGUCAGUUUCUAUCUAUGAAAUGUUUUUCUCUAGUACGAAAGGACCGAGAAAAAAAGGCCAAUGCUUAAAGUAAGCCCUUCCCUAACUCAAUGAAUUCAAAUAAAUUGAAUAACAGGACAUAAACCUGCAAACAUUGAUAAUGUUAU
rnacentral:rRNA from 1 species